GCAUGAGUGCGGUGCAGUGUGAUCUAGGAUCUGGUAGUGCAAUUGGAGACAAGGGAAAGGUUGUUUAUGAAAAUAUUCAAAACAUACCUCCUCUACCGAAGACAUACAUCAAGAGUCCUGCAAAGCUGAAGAGAAAACGUGGAGAUGAGGAUCCUUCAGAGCCGAGCAGUGCGGCGAAGAGGAUCGAUUUUGAUGAUCCAUCAGCAGCUUAGGAUGUUAUAGAUAGUUUUGGGAUGCUUACAUGUCUAGUUGGCAUGUAUAUUUUGUAUAUGGACAUACAUUCAUGUAUUUAGACAUACAUUUUGUUUCAGUUGGUGUUU